UUCGAAUCCUAAUUCCAAGUCUGUGGGACCAAUAGCUUCGGUGAUUGCUCCUGCAAAGGAGCAUGAACCGGUUGGGCUCACUGAUAAGGAUUGGGUUUCCAGGGAUAUCACUGGUUCCUCCAAUGCCCAGGCUAGGAGGAGGACAUGGUUCUUUGCCCAUCUUAGGUGUCUGUAAGAUCAUGGGUUUGCAGGUGAUCCAGAUCAACCUCCAGCAUUCCCGAGCCGCUUCCGCCGUUUUGGGUUGGUUACUCAUGGGGGCUGCUAUGACCUUGCUCUUAUUCAAGAGCCAUAGCUUUAUAAGGGCCAAAUACAG
rnacentral:lncRNA from 1 species